GACAGAGGUCCCGAGCGUUAGGCGGAAUCACUGGGCUUAAAGCGUGUGUAGGCGGAUGCCUAAGUACCUUGUGAAAUCCCACGGCUUAACCGUGGAACUGCUUGGUAUACUGGGUGUCUUGAGCCACUUAGGGGCUACCGGAACAAAUGGUGGAGCGGUGAAAUGCGUAGAUAUCGUUUGGAACGCCGACGGUGAAAACAGAUGACUGGGGAUCCGCUGACGCUGAGACGCGAAAGCGUGGGGAGCGAACAGG
rnacentral:rRNA from 1 species